AUUUAAAUAGCUUAUAUUUAGAGUUUAAUAUUGAAGAUAUUAAGGAGAUUAACUAAUCUUUAAAUA
rnacentral:tRNA from 1 species